UACGAGAGGUACAAGCGUUAUUCGGAAUAAUUGGGCGUAAAGGGCGCGUAGACGGCGUAUUAAGUCUGUUGUUAAAUUCUUCGGCUCAACUGAAGAUCUGCGACGGAAACUGGUAUGCUAGAGUGUGGGAGAGAGAAGUGGAAUUCUUGGAGUAGCGGUAAAAUGCGUAGAUCUCAAGAGGAACACCGAUGGCGAAGGCAGCUUCUUGGUCCACUACUGACGUUGAGGCGCGAAAGCGUGGGGAGCAAACAGG
rnacentral:rRNA from 1 species